rnacentral:rRNA from 1 species
CCCUAUGGGGUGCAGCAGGCUCCUGUUGCAGACCUCAAUACGAUGAUCACGGUUGAGGAUCAGAACGCCCUCUUCCAUGCUGGCAAAAGCGGCUUCCAGCUUGUUUGUUUCUUCUGUGGCGAGACGGAUCUUCUCCUGUUGCUCCUGGAGAAUGUAGUUCAUGUCAUUUGCCAGUUGCCCGAUCUCAUCCCGGGAGUCCAUGAUCAAGCGGCCCGGAGAUUGGCCGUUCCGGAUAUCUUUGGCAAAUUCGGUCAUCCGGCGGAUGGGCGACGUGAUAUUUCGGGCAAAGAUGAAGGCCAAGAGAAUUAAGGGGAUGGCCAUGAUAAGCAGCGUCAGAUAUGUAUAACGAUGAACUUGUUCAAUAGAUUCUGUCACCUCUUUCAGAGGUUUGGAGAGC